rnacentral:tRNA from 6 species
CUUGGGAGAGCUCAGUUGGUAGAGCAGAGGACUGAAAAUCCUCGUGCACCAGUUCAAAUCUGGUUCCUGACA